CAGGUGUUCUUGGGUGCCUGGGGCAGGCUCGUACAAAGGGGUGGUCGGGCACUAGUGGAGUCAGCUGCCCCUGGCCUGUGGUUCUCCGGGAUUCUCAGCCUUCGUCUGGGGGAGCCCCAUCUGGGGCUCCUGGGGCCAUUAUUGCAGCUUCCCACGCUGUCACUUGGUGUUCGCUCGCUUUGUGCAUGUCUUUAUCCUGUUUUCCUUCUUCACCCCAACCGGUCGCAGCAGAUGGCCGCCCCUCCCUGAGCCUGGUUCUGCCGGAGGUUUCUUCCUGUUAAAAGGGAGUUUUUCCUUCCCACUGUCGCCAAAGUGCUUGCUCAUAGGGGGUCAUAUGAUUGUUGGGCUUUUCUCUGUAUUUAUUAUUGUGCUAUCUACUGUACAAUAUAAAGCGCCUUGAGGCGACUUUUGUUGUGAUUUGGCGCUAUAUAAAUAAAAUUGAAUUGAAUUGAAUCAUCAUCAAAUACAA
ensembl:lncRNA